ensembl:lncRNA
GAGAAACACACUGGGUUUUCAUGCUAACGCAGAGGCACAUGGCCCAGCUGUUACAACGACUCUUUCUGCGGCGCUGGGCGAGGACAGGAGAGUCGGGGCAAGUCCCAGGAGGCGCCGACAGAAAAGCAACUUGUGCGCAGCUCCACCUCACACACGGUACCUGCGAUGUUUCCAGGAUCCCAUGGAGCAAAAACGCCCUCAUCCUGCCUCUGCAGAGAAAAACCUCAGAGUCACGUGGCUGGAGGACAGGCCUCCAGGCCCGGCUGUGCGCAGAGCCUGCAGCGUGUGCACCGCUGCCAGGCUGAGGCUCUUCCUUGAGAGAGACAAAGGCUAUUCUCUUCCUGUCUUCUCGCUCGCAUGCGACAUCCACCAGGAAGAGCUGGGAGGUCACGUUGCCAGAGAGCCGAACACCUGCAGCUGGGGAGGGUCCAGCCAGGGAGCACAGGGCAGCUCCCUCCGCCCUCUUCCCCUCGCCCCUACAGCAGAGGAGCCUACUCAGCAUCAAAGAAGGAGGAGAGGAGGCAGUGUGUCGCCCAUUGUCACCAUGUCAACACCAGCAUCCUCUGAAGAGAACUUUCCGUCCUUUCUCAGGUAGCGAGGCAGAAAGCCCAUGUUUUACACGGCCGUGGAGAGUCUGCGAGGCCGGAGCGCUUCCUGUGUUUGCUUUUCCAUCUGUUCUGGGAGCUUCGGUGGGGUUCACAGGAUUUCCACCACCCCCCUUUACAGAAAAACAUUCACUCUUCAAAAACGCAGCCAAGCCAGUGAAAAGAGAAGAGGCUUCUGGCGCGAAUGGACGCUGCCAGUUGGCAGGUGCAGCUCCCAGGCCUGACUCCCCCGCUCCGGGACGGACCUUGCAGCUCGGAGCUGGGGAGAGGCGCUGGCCUGCCCCGGGAUCACGGCUGCCUCGGAUCUUCCUUCCCACUUUGCUUCCUGGGGUGAGGCCCAGCCUGGGGCAGCCCUGACCUGGCUCUUCUCCCAGGUUCCAAGCCUUGGUUCUCACUUAGAGGCCCCCCGACGUUUCCGAGCACACUGUCUCUGCAGUGGGGACUGAAGGUGCUGAUCCAAACCUCGUGUGACCUCCUCAGAGAAGCUCGUGCUGGGCCCCACGCUCCCUCUUUCUGGAUCCUGAGGAACUGAAGCAGCCCCUGAACUUCACAGUGCGCAUGGCCCCUUCUUCCUACGUCUGAUUCCACCAGCCCAGGGAGCAGCUCAUUAGCCCCAUUUUACAGCCGGGGAAACUGAGCCUCAGAGCAAUUGAGCAGAAUACGUGUAAGGUCACACAGGUGAAAUGCAACAGCGCUUGCUUCUAGAUCAACCCUUCCACGUCCUGCAUGCUUCUGUCUUUUUAAAAAUCCCUUUGCAUGCUUAAAACCUUUCUGCUCUGCAGGGCAAAAUGUUAGAAUAAUAGCAAAGGGGUGACUCAUAAGCACCUUCUGACUUAUUUUAUUGCAUAUACAAAACAAGGCUCUCGACAAGUCCUUUCCGAGAACAUAUUCCAUCUUUAAGAAAGCUCAUAAGCUCCAAGUGUAACAGACAGCACCUCAGGAACCCUUGAUAUAGGCUGGUGUCUGAAUGGAAAAACAAGAGUGGCUUCAACGCUCUGAAAAUAAGUGAUUCUAUGAAACUAACACCGAGAAAAGGAACCCAAGAAAUAUGCGUCAGCUCUUCUCAUACAAUCAACUGAUUACCUAGAACAUUGUCAAAAAUACAUGUGUUUGAGGGUCCCUCGGGAGCAGUCCGCCCCAAAGGACUAUUUCUUCACUGCCACUGUUUAGAACUGCCACAUCCGGCGAUAAUAAAAAGCGGGCCAAU